CCCGGGAUAGCCCAGGGAAACCUGGAUUAAUACCGGAUGAGACGGGACCCGCGAAGGCGGGACCCGGGAAAGGCGCUGCGGCGCCGCCGGGGGAUGAGUCUGCGUCCCAUUAGCUAGACGGCGGGGUAACGGCCCACCGUGGCGACGGAUGGGUAGCCGGCCUGAGAGGGUGACGGCCACAUUGGAACUGAGACACGGUCCAGACUCCUACGGGAGGCAGCAGCUAAGAAUCUUCCGCAAUGGGCGAAAGCCUGACGGAGCGAACCGCCGCGUGAACGAAGAAGGCCGUGAGGUUGUAAAGUUCGUUUUCGGGAGGGGGAACAACCGUGGCAGGGAAUGGCCGCGGGAUGACGUGAAUCCCGGAAUAAGCCCCGGCUAACUACGUGCCAGCCGCCGC
rnacentral:rRNA from 1 species